CUGCUCUUGUGAUCUUGAUUGACACGAGUGGCACCCUUCUGCAGAAGUAAAUUGCCUAGCUUAGAGAACUUCUGCCUGAGUGCUGGUUUCACUUUGCUGCACCAAGCAUUUAUUCCUAGAACAUUUUUAUAUUCAGCAAUUCUGGGGGCUCAUCCGGGAUCCCCAUUCUCCUUCAAGAAGGGGUCUUCAGUCACCCUACCCAGGGGAGAUGUGUCCCACUGCCCCAUUGUGGUGGCCUCAGGGAGGGGAGAUCAAGACCCACCCGUUGUUAUGAAUAAACUUGGACUCUCAGCAACACGGGGAGGAGAGGCUUGCAGUAUCGUGGCGACCAGCUAAACUCUGUGCACAGACCAAGGUGGACUCAUUCUUGUUGGCUGCUGUGUUAUACCAUGCAUCCAUGGGCUAAUACAAAGGAUUGUACAACCAGCACUUAGUUCUCCUCCAGCUUAUUCAAUCUCCAUCACUCUCUGCUGCCUGGUAACUGGUAUUGGACACCUGGACAUCUGCAUCCCCGAGCCUUGAGAACCCAACACGUGUUCUGGAAUGACUGGCAGUAGCACCCCACCACUCAACCCCCAUAUGAGAAGAAAAAGGCCUCCUGCCUCCUCUUCUUUCACCAGACACUGUGGGCCCACAAUUCCCAUGUGCACCCCAAAGAUCCAAGCCACUAGCUCUCUCUCCACCUCUUGCAGGGUAGACCUUCUCCUUUUUUUUUGGCGGGAGCGGACAGAAUCCCACUCUGUCACCCAGGCUAAAGUGCAGUGGCGCGAUCUCGGCUUUUGUGUUAUACAAGGCUCUUUAUAUCAUGAUUAACACAAUAAGGUGCUUAAUCAUGAGUCUUAAUGUGGCUGCAUCCCACUCCCUAGGCUUCAAGGACAGAAAUUGCAUAUUUUUGAAAAGGUUAUUCUAAUGUACACCUGGGUUUGUGAUCCACUUAUAAGCCCUCAAAACCACUAAUCUGUUCUCCAUAAUUUUGUCAUUUCUGGAAUAUCACAUAAAUGAAAACAUACCAUAUGUAACUCUAUGGGAUUGGCUUUAUUUUUUCACUCAGCAUAAUUUAUCCAGGUUUUUUGUGUUUAC
rnacentral:lncRNA from 1 species